GAGUAUAUUAUGGAGAGUGUAGAGAUUAGAGAGAGAUUAGAGAGAGAGAGAUCAUCCAUUAAUUGCAAAUAUUCUCCAAGAUUUGGAAAUCUCCUUUAAAGAUCACAAGAUCAAAUUCAAUCUUGCAAAGCCAAACCUCUCUCUCCCUCACUACAAUUUUCGGCCAUCAUCUCUCUCCCUCACACACAUUUUCUCCCAACACACACUCAUCUUCUCCAUUUAUCAAUUCCACCAUUUUCCUCCAUUGAUGGAAACCUUCGAAGCUUCCUAAAAUAUUACCAAACACUUCAAAUCACUCUAAUAUCCUCCAUAAACCUAUUCUAUCCACUUAUAAUCAAGAAAAUCCUUGAAGAAGAAGCUCCAAAGUAGAGUGAGAAAGUGAGAAUUUUGGUGAGAACUUGGGCCCGAGCGAGACGAAGAAGUAAGUUGCCUGAUUUCUUUCCAGAAUAAGCGAAGGACUUCAGGCUAAGCGAGGAG